ensembl:scaRNA
GGCCUCUCUCCCUUGGGGCUGUCGGGGGUCCAGUUUCUCCGCAGCCAAGGACAGAGGCCGAGAUGAACCCCAGAGGAUCACUGUCAGGACUGCCUCGAGCUGGGCAGCCUUGUUUUCCUGCCUCACACAUUC